AGAGGGCUAGAAACUGACUUUUAUUACCUAAGUUCCUGAGUAAAAAAUCUACUCAAAGAUGAGGGUCUUCGGAUUAGAGGUUUCUCUGGAGAGCGUGACUUGAAAGAGGCAAGGGAGAACCCUCCUCGGGCCACGUGUUCUGCCUUGAUCGGUGUGGUGGUUAUAAAUGGAAAAGUAGACAGCAUAUUUAAAAGACGGUGCUAGUCAGCGUUGUGUUACUGCAAUUAAUACCUGGGAUAAUUAAUUUAUAAAGAAGUAGGGCGCUUGGGAGGGAGGGAGGGAUGGGGAGAGAGAGAGAGAGGAAGGAGGAGAAAAAGAAGGAAGGAAACAUUUACAAAAGAGAGGAGGAAGGAGGAGAAAGAAGGAAAGACGGAAGGAAAAAGAAAAAGAGGAAGUGAGGAAGGAAGGAAGAGGCAGUGUUUUAUGCUCAGUCACUGGAUGAGAUACUCAACAUCCACGCCGUACAGGAGGAGAAGUUUAUUCUGGCUCACAGUCUGUUUUCUGCCCAUACACAGGCGGUUCCAAGGCGGAGUGGUCCUGGUGAAGGGCCCGGGAACGGGAGAGCUGCUCAUCUCAUGGGACCCAGGAAGCUCAGCAAACAGCCCAGAGUCUGCAGGGAGCGAAACCUUUCUAGGCCGCCCCCGUGACCUACGUCUUCCUCCCAGCAAGUCAGCUGUGGCCCCAUAUGAAUAUCUAGAGGUUAUACAAUACCAGCAGUAUUGUCAUGAAGGCCAUUUUCCAAAACUGCAGAAAACUGUGAAAAUAUAAUUUAAGACUUUCAGGUUACUGUCAGUGAUCGGUGAGGAACAGAUUGCACUUUCCUGAACUGAAACCAAAUGAAUUCCACAAAGUGAAAAUGAACUGGUGACACUUGAAAAAAGAAAGAGAAAAGAAAAGAAAACUCACUUUAAGAAAUCGAAGCCCCCCCGCAUUUCUCCCCUCACUUGCAGCCAACUCUGCUCCCCACGCAUUCUGAUCAUCUCCCUGCACGGUGUCUGUGGUGGUGACAACUGAUUCGUGUGCUCAUUUGCAUAUCCCUCGGUGCCAGCAGCAGAAUACAGAACGGGGCCUCCUGCUCUGGCAGCCGACACAGCACUGGCAAAUCAGGGGAGCUGUCAGAAACAGCUGUCCAUUAACGAAGUUUGUGGAAACAACCAGGAGCUGUUUGAAAAUGCUAGGUGGUAGAAUUUAAUUGGAGUAGCAACUGUUCAAAAUGAAGAUUAAAAGGAC
rnacentral:lncRNA from 1 species